rnacentral:rRNA from 1 species
CUAUCAGCUUGUUGGUGGGGUAACGGCCUACCAAGGCAACGACGGGUAGCUGGAUUGAGAGAUCGACCAGCCACACUGGAACUGAGACACGGUCCAGACUCCUACGGGAGGCAGCAGUGGGGAAUCUUGCGCAAUGGGCGAAAGCCUGACGCAGCAACGCCGCGUGCGGGAUGAAGGCCUUCGUGGUUGUAAACCGCUUUCAGUAGGGACGAAAAUGACGGUACCUGCAGAAGAAGCUCCGGCUAACUACGUGCCAGCAGCCGCGGUAAUACGUAGGGGGCGAGCGUUGUCCGGAUUCAUUGGGCGUAAAGAGCUCGUAGGCGGUUUAGUAAGUUAGGUGUGAAAGCUCCGAGCUCAACUCGGAGACGCCAUCUGAUACUGCUGUGACUAGAAUCCAGUAGGGGAGUGUGGAACUCCUGGUGUAGCGGUGGAAUGCGCAGAUAUCAGGAAGAACACCAGCGGCGAAGGCGGCACUCUGGGCUGGUAUUGACGCUGAGGAGCGAAAGUGUGGGCAGCAAACAGGAUUAGAUACCCUGGUAGUCCACACCGUAAACGUUGGGCACUAGGUGUGGGGAGGAAUCAACCCUCUCCGUGCCGUAGCUAACGCAUUAAGUGCCCCGCCUGGGGAGUACGGCCGCAAGGCUAAAACUCAAAGGAAUUGACGGGGGCCCGCACAAGCGGCGGAGCAUGUUGCUUAAUUCGAGGCAACGCGAAGAACCUUACCUAGGUUGAACUACGCAGGAAAAGCCACAGAGAUGUGGUGUCCUUCGGGGCCUGCGAUAGGUGGUGCAUGGCUGUCGUCAGCUCGUGUCGUGAGAUGUUGGGUUAAGUCCCGCAACGAGCGCAACCCUUGUCCUAUGUUGCCAGCACGUAAUGGUGGGGACUCGUAGGAGACUGCCGGGGUCAACUCGGAGGAAGGUGGGGACGACGUCAAGUCAUCAUGCCCCUUAUGUCCAGGGCUGCAAACAUGCUACAAUGGCCGGUACAACGGGCUGCGAGACUGCGAGGUCAAGCGAAUCCCUUAAAGCCGGUCUCAGUUCGGAUUGAAGUCCGCAACUCGACUUCAUGAAGCUGGAGUCGCUAGUAAUCCCGGAUCAGCAACGCCGGGGUGAAUACGUUCCCGGGCCU